rnacentral:rRNA from 1 species
CCAGACUCCUACGGGAGGCAGCAGUGGGGAAUAUUGGACAAUGGGGGGAACCCUGAUCCAGCGACGCCGCGUGAGUGAGGAAGUAUUUCGGUAUGUAAAGCUCUAUCAGCAGGGAAGAAAGAAAUGACGGUACCUGACUAAGAAGCCCCGGCUAACUACGUGCCAGCAGCCGCGGUAAUACGUAGGGGGCAAGCGUUAUCCGGAUUUACUGGGUGUAAAGGGAGCGUAGACGGUUACGCAAGUCUGGAGUGAAAGGCCGGGGCCCAACCCCCGGACUGCUUUGGAAACUGUAUAACUGGAGUGCAGGAGAGGUAAGUGGAAUUCCUAGUGUAGCGGUGAAAUGCGUAGAUAUUAGGAGGAACACCAGUGGCGAAGGCGGCUUACUGGACUGUAACUGACGUUGAGGCUCGAAAGCGUGGGGAGCAAACAGGAUUAGAUACCCCUGUAAC